AUGUAGUUAGUUUAAGUAAGAAUAUUAGUUUGUGGUGCUAAUGGUGCUAGGUUAGUACUACAUA
rnacentral:tRNA from 1 species